UUAGCCUUAACUGCAUAUUUAUGUUCAGAUUUUAUAGUCACAUAUGCCACAGAUUUCACUCCCAGAUGUCUCCCUGUGAUAUCUAUCUUGUGCUCACCCUCUAAACAGCAUCAGGGCAUUAACAGACACCAGCCUAUGACUGAAUUACAUCACUGCUCCUGCCUAGGAAGAGACAUGUUUGCCGAAGCUGCCUUCAGUUAAAGUUCCUUGCCAUAUCCUGUCUUUCAUUAAAAAGAAGGAAGAAGAAGAAGAAGAAGAAGAAGAAGAAGAAGAAGAAGAAGAAGAAGAAGAAGAAGAAGAGGCUUCUAAGGAUUAUAGUAAAAUAAAAUAAAGAUGAAACAAAAACUAACAUAUCAGAAUUGGACAAAACAAUCAAGCAGAAAGAAAAGAUUCCAGAAGAAGAUACAAGAAACAGAGAACCACUCAUUCGUGCACUCAGGAAUUCAAUAAAAUGCUAAACUGGAAGCAAUAAUAUAUUUUUUAAAAAAGGACCUGGAAGAUGAAAGAGAGAAAAAAUAUGUAUAAAAAAGCAUCUUGAUAAUGGCAUAAAAAACGGCAUGUGGACCAAUGGAAUCAAAUUGAAGACCCUGACAUUAAUCCGCACACGAAUGAACAUCUGAUCUUUGACAAAGCCAAAACUGCACUAUGGAAAAAAGAAAGCAUCUUUGACAAAUGGUGCUGGCAUAACUGGAUGUCAGCAUGUAGAAGACUGCAAACAGAUCCAUAUCUAUUGCUAUGCACAAAACUCAAGUCCAAAUGGAUCACAGACCUCAACAUAAAUCCAGUUACACUGAACCUGAUAGAAGAUGAAGUAGGAAGCAGCCUUGAAUGCAUCAGCACAAGAAACCACUUCCUAAAUAUAACAUCAGUAGCAUAGACACUGAGAGCAACAACUAAUAAAUGGGACCUCCUGAAACAGAAGCUUUUGUAAGGCAAAGGACACAGUAAAUAAGACAAAAGGACAGCCUACAGAAUGGCAAAAGAUCUUCAUCAACCCCACAUCUGAUAGAGGUGUAACUGAAUCUUGAGGUAGAUCAAUUCCCAUUUUCCUGAGAAACCACCACACUGGUUUCCAUAGUGGCUGUUCAAGUUCACAGUGGAUGAGUGUUCCCCUUGUUCCACAUCCUGACCAGCAUACCCUGUCACUUGUUUUUAUUGGUCUCAGCCAUUUUGAUUCUGUAAAAGGAAAUCUCAAAGUAGUUUUGAUUUGGAUUUUCCUGAUGACUAGUGAUAUUGAACAUUUAUUUAAGUGUUUCUUAGCCAUUUGAGUUGCCUCUUUUGAAAAUUCUCUGGUUAGAACUGUACAACAUUUUUUAGUUGGGUUAUAUAUUUUCUUGAUAUCUGAAUUUUUUUAGUCAUUUAUAUAUUUUGGAUAUUAGUCUCCUUUCAGAUGUGGAGUUGAUUAAUUCCUUUUCCCAUUCUAUAGGUUACUACUUUAUCUGAAUAACAGUGUCCUUUGCUGUUCAGAAGCUUUUAAGUUUCAUGAGAUCUCAUUUAUUAAUUGCUGUUCUUAGUGUCUAUGCUAAUGAUAUUCUGUUCAGAAAGUCUUUUUCCUGUGACAAUGAGUUUAAGGCUAUUACCCACUGUUACUUCUAUCAAGUUCAGUGUAUUUGGUUCUAUGUUGAGGAUUUUUACCCAUUUGGAGUUGAGGGUUUUUUUUUUGUUGUUGUUGUUGUUGUUUUUAUUUUGCAAUACAGUUCAGAGGAGUUGAGUUUUGUGCCAGCUGAUAAGUAUGGAUCUGUUUGGAUUCUUUUACAUGAAGCAUCUAGUUUGACCUACACCCCUUGUUAAAGAUAUUAUCUUUUCUCCAGUGUGUAUUUCUGUCUUCAUUAUCAAAACUCAAGUGUGUGAAUUUAUGCCUGGGUCUUUUGUUCAAAUCCGUUGAUUGACAUGUCAGUUUUUAUGCCAACAUCAUGCUAUUUUUAUUACUAUAACUCUAUAGUACAACUUGAAAUUGCAGAUAGUGAUGUCUCCUGCAGUUGUUUUAUUAUUCAGGAUUGUUUUUUAUCAAUGCUGGGUUUGGGUCAAUUUGUUUGUUUUUUGUUUUCUUAAGAUGCUGAAGAUUGUCCUUUCAAGAUAUGUGAAGAGUUGCGUUCAAAUUUUAAUGGGAAUUGCUUUCUGCUUUGAUUUAUUUUUUCCAUUUACUGAAUAUGGGGUUGCUUAUGCAAAUUUGUAAAUUAUAUCAGUAAGUUGUUUUUUGUUCUUUUUCUAAGUGUUUAUUAUAAUUACUUAGAGCUAUUCCAUUUUAGAACUUCUCUUACCAUAUCCCAGAGGUUUUGUUGGGCUAUGUUUUCAAUUUCACAAGGAUUUAAAGUUUUUUCUGCCUUGAUUUCUUCUUUUGUCAUCCAAUAUUAUGUUGUUUAAUCUCCAUGAUUCAAUUACUUACUAGGCUAUUUUGCUGUUGAUUUUAUACAUUAUUGUAUUUUAGUCAGAGUGUACAUAUGGAAUUUUUCAUUUUUUCUGUAUUGACUGAGAUGUUUUGUGUCCUUGUAAGUGGUCUCUUUUUACAGAUAUUCCCAUAGACUUCUAACUAGAAAGUACAUUCUUAGUGUUAGGUAGAAUGCUCUGCAGAUAAUUGUUUAGUCUUUUUUUUAUAUGUGAUGUCAUUUAAUUUGUGUAUUUAUCUGAUUAUUUUUUUUGUCUAUAUGGCCUCUCUACUGGAGAAAGUAGGGUAUAGAAAUUACUAUUACUUAGUUGGAGAUAAUCUAUGUCUUGAAGAAAGUAAUAAUUUUUUCUUUAGGAAAUUAGCUAUACCAGAGUUUUUUUUUUUAUCUCUUCCUAGGAUUAUAUCUUCUUGAUUAAUUGUACCUUGAUAAGAAUGGAGUUUUCUUUUUUAUCGGUACAAUCAAUUUUAUUGAAAGUCUGCUUUUUCAGACACUGGGAUAUAGUCGCCUAUUUGCUUCCCAGUCCGACUUGCUGGGGUACUUUCUUGCAUCCUUUCACUCUAAGGUGGUGGUGCCUAUUCUUAAAGAUAAGAUGAGUUUCUUGCAGAAAACAUAAAGAUUGAUUCUGCUUCUUAGUCUAGUCAAAUAACUGUUGUCUUAUGUUGGAGCAGUUGAGAUCCUUAAAAUUUAUAGUUGGUUGUGUACCUGCUAUGAGAUUCUAGUCUCUCUCUCUUUUAAGUGGAAAUUUUGUUCCAUUUUGUUGUUGUCUAAACUUGCUGAUUUCAGAUCACAUAUGAAGAAUCGAUAGGUCAGUCAUUCAAACCCUCAGUAAUGAUUUUUGGUUGUGUAGUUGGGAUGAUUCCAAUCUAGCAGAAACCAAAAAAGCAUGCUAAUGUGACUCCCAGCUGGGUUUACCUGAGCUAGCACACAAGUUUCCCUCCCUGAGCUAGGCUUAGGAGGAUGAGUUUGGGAAGGGUGAAUUGGGAUCUUAGAAAUGCACGUAACGGGGCUGAUACAUAAGUUGCAUGAUUCCAGCUAGAACAAAGAGUAUGAAAAUGGAUGUGGUAGGCAGGAUUCUGCAAGAAUCAUCAGGUUAGGCUACUCUACAAGCUACAAGAAAUCAUCCACACCCAAGAUUAUAUGUGUGCAGUUAAAUGAUAAUGUGAGAAGAUAAGGUACUCACAUUAAAGUAGUUGACAAUUAAAACAAAACCAUAGCCCCAAUAGUUUACUAAACCAAUAAAAUAAGUUUCUGGUAAGGUGAACCUUAAAGACCCUGAUAGAGAGCUAAAAAGAUAGCAUAUACUCACACAAGCAGAUAUGCAUGCACAUAAAUAAAAAUAAAAUAAAUCUUUGAAAAAAAUAAUAAAGAUCAUGCCUCGGCUUCUCUGUUUAUCAAUAAACAUAGAAGAUGUGAUGAUUUGAAUAAGAGUUUUGCCCCCAGGCUCAGGCCUUUGAGCACCAACUUGAUGUCCAGUUGGUGAUGCUUUUUGGGGGUGUUUAGGGAGUGUGGCCUUGGUAGAGAAAAUAUGUUACUGGAGCAGACAUGGAGAGUAUAUAUAGCUUCACUCUACUUCCUGGUCACUCUUUCAUCUUCCUGUUUAUGUUAGGAGAUCUGAACUCUCAGCUUUCUGUUAUUGCUGCGAUGUCUACUGCUUAUUGCUAUACCUCCCUACCCUGAUGGACUCUUUCCCCUCUAGAAGCAUAAACAGAAUAAAGCCUGCCUUCUAUAAGUUA